rnacentral:tRNA from 1 species
GGUUGUGGCUCAGUGGUAGAGCACUUGCCUAGCAAGUGCAGGGCCCUGGGUUCAACCCUCAACACCA